rnacentral:rRNA from 1 species
UACGUAGGGGGCUAGCGUUGUCCGGAUUUAUUGGGCGUAAAGAGCGUGUAGGCGGCCAUGUAGGUCCGGUGUGAAAACUCGAGGCUUAACCUCGAGAUGUCAUCGGAAACCAUUUGGCUAGAGUCCGGAAGAGGAGAGUGGAAUUCCUGGUGUAGCGGUGAAAUGCGCAGAUAUCAGGAAGAACACCAAUGGCGAAAGCAGCUCUCUGGGACGUUACUGACGCUGAGACGCGAAAGCGUGGGGAGCAAACAGG